UUUUUUUUCUUUGUUUGUUUUUGUUUUUGUCUUUUAGGACCACACCCACUGCAUAUGGAAGUUCCUAGGCUAGGAGUCAAAUCAGAGCUACAGCUGCUGGCCUACACCACAGCCACAACAAUGCAGGUUCUGAGCCGCAUCUGUGAUCUACACCACAGCUCAUGGCAACGCCAGAGACUUAGUCCACUGAGCAAGGCCAAGGAUCGACCCUGCGUCCUCAUGGAUACUCGUUGGGUUUGUUACCACUGUACCACCAAGGGAACUCCUUGUACAGUUGUUUGAAUGUUUAAUUUUGGUCUUGGGAAAAUAUAAGUAAAUAAUUACUGCAGUGGUUGAUACAUGAAGUAUCAAAGGGGUGGAAAGCUUGUGCUGUUGAUGAGGAAGAGGUUCUAGAUUGGAGUCCUGGGAAGAGGAUGUUCUCCUGGGGAGAGCUCUCUAUAAGACACAGGGACUCCCAUCCCAAGUGCCAUUCCCUUGGACCCAGAGUUCUUUCUCCUACAUUGUUUGUUUAGAUUUAACAAAUAUUUAUUUAAAAUUCAAUAUUUUUCAGGCCUUGUUCUAAGAGUUGUGCAAAUAUUAAUUAAUGAAUCCUUUUGACAGCAUUUUGAAGUAGGUUCCAUCAUUCCAGUUUUGCAGAUGGCAAGCUGAGACACCAUUUGUGGGGGGUGGUUGAUGAGGUAUGUGGGACAGUGGUCACUCUAGGUAAAAUUCUUUCUUAAAUGGGAGGCUGAACAAGAUGGUCUUUGGAUUCUGCCAUAUCAUCCUUUCUGUGGUUAAAAAAAUGUGGCAGCAUUAUAUAUUUUCUGGGUGAACUGAAAGCCAAAAGACUAGCUAAAACAUUGCAGCUGGUAUAUUAAAAUGUACUUGAAAUUCUGAUUGGAAAAAAAAUGAUUUUGAGCCAGAACUGAAACUCUAGUUCUCCUAAAGACCUAUUGUUAUUACUAUUAAUUAUUAUAUUUUGACCUGUGAAUUAUGUGAAAAUCCAACUGUUUUGCCAAUCCUCUCAUUACCUGGUCCUGCUUGCACACCUGUCAUAAUCCAUGCUCCAAACACAGUAUAAUUAUAGGAUUCAAGUGCUGCUCUCUGUCCAAACUCUUUAAGGCACUAAACUAAGAGCUUUGAAAAUGCCACCAGCUUCUCUGAAGCAAAGAAAAUGUUUCCUAAUUGGGGUCUGACUUUUUAGAACAGUAUCAUUUGAAAAGAGAGGCCACAAAAAGGAAAUAGUAAAGGUCAUGACUAAGGGUCAUAAUAAAAAUCUCUUAAGAAAAUAAGAUGUGACUAAAUAUGGUACUGAAUUUUGUGCCUCAAACAACAAAGAUCUUGGGGAGUUAGUAGACAUAAUGGAAGCUUGUCUAACACAAAGCAGAAAACUGAAAUGCACUGCUUGACAGUGCGUGUAUGUGUGAGUGUGUGUGAGGAAGGCUGUAGUAGAUUUCAGAGGACUAGAUGAGAAGAAAGGAAUUCAAUAACUUGUUUUAUUGAUAGAGUUAAAUUUAUGACAAAGUGAACUUUUCCUGUUUCUGGCCUGUAGUUGGCAACUACUGAAAUGGUGAAACGGAGUUGUCUGUUUUUUACUCUUGUCACUUAUUUUUUCAAUAACUACCCUUUUCUUAAUUAAAAUGACAGUGGCUUUGUUGCUGAAAGUAGGUGAUGUGGUUCGGGGAUCCAUAGUGGAGAUUGCUAAUUGUCCCCUAAUACCCAAUUCUUCUCUUUUUCCUUUCAUUGAUUACAUUUUCCAAGUUUUAGCUGAUCAUAUGUUUGUCUGGCUGCUGUCUGCUGUUCUGGCUUACUUUGCAGCUUGAUGUGACCAUGUGACUGUUCGAUGCUUUUUUAGUAGAAGUGAUAAGUGCUACUUUGAGAUCAUGCCCUUAAGAGGAGGCUGCUUGCCUUCUACUACCCUCUCUUCCUUUCUUCAGAGGGAAAUAUAGGUAUGGAAGGGGUGAGUCUGCUUCAGCUUCAAACUUGGAAUGAGGAUAAGAUAGGAGGUGUAUUAGCCAUAGUUCAGGCCAGAAAGUAGAAACCACUCCAGGUAUCCAAAGCAGACAGGGACUGAGCACAGUUGAAUUAAGUGCUUACAAAAUUAUCAGAAGCGUUGACAGAGUGGAAGUUGAAGUUCAUGUCAUUGUACCUCUGAGGCAGUGGUCUGGCAGCUGCUGCUGUUGCUGUCCCCUCUGCCAUCACCGUGGCUGCCCGUUCUACUAAAGAGUAGUGUCUAGAAUUUGGCUUUUGCAAACACUCACAUCUCUUGGAAGUUUUUGAGAGCCACCACUGUAUCCACUAUUGUAAGAUAACCUCUGCCCUACUUUCACUUUCCAAAUGCAUCUCACUGACACAACUAACAUUACCUUUGGAACCCUACCUGCUAGGGAGUCUGGAAAGUGUGGUCAUCUGCCUUCUGGACAUUUUGAAAAAGAGGUGGAAAUGUACCCCAGAUAUCAAUAAACAAAAUCUAGAACACCAGUAAUCAAUGGCAGCAAAGCAGGAGCCUGGGACCCAGAACUUGUGGACCAUGUACAAAGAGUGUAAGUAAGAGAGAAAUAAACUCUUUCUUUGUCCAGUCUACUGUUAUUUUGGGUUUUCUGUCACUUGUAACUUAAUCUAUUCUUAAGGAAUUCACAAUUAACAUGUGGUGUUGGAUUGUAUAAGCUGCCCAAUAACAAGAACUCAUUGCAGGUUGGAAGGCUGGUGACCUCAAUUAUGUCAUUACAAACAUUUGGGAACACCAUCCCCAAAGGUCUCUUGGAAUGCAGUCCAUCUUCCUGCUUAUCCUGAAAGUCAUAGGGACAAUGAUAAGAAUAACUCCAAAUUUUGUUUUUGUUGUUGUUGUAGCUUUUAACAUGUUUUAGAAGUGAGAUAUUUACUUAGGAUAGAGUUGGCCAAGGUGAAAGCAGAGAUGGAGGAAAUAUUGCUCUGUUAAGUACCACCGUCUCUGCCUCUAGCUGGAAUGCAAACUGAGAAUUUAAGGCCUUCCAGGGUUAAAGUAACCAACUGCUUCUGUUACCCAAAACAAGGCAGCAACUUUAGUAAGAUAAAAGCAAUUUCCAAGCCAGCUAUGGCAGCAAAGCUGGUUUUGAUAAUUUCAAAGAACCAGUAAUAGUUAUGUACUUAAAAUUUCCCUCUUUUUCUGCUUUGUCAUUGGAUACUGGGAAGGGGAAAAGAAAUUGUAUUUCAUAGCUUCUCAGACCAUGACUUACCAUAUCCACACUUGAUGUAGCAUAUCACCCAGGCAUCCUGGACUUCGAGCUGGAUGGUGAAACUGGAUGGGACUUUAGCACCGGGUCCCUUGUGGAGAGGCAAAGUUGGUUCCACAUAUGGGAGGAAUGAUCUGUGGGUGGCUAAAGAGGCAAAGUGUGUCAGAGUCUGCUGGUUGCCCUGUAAUAUCUCUUCUUUCUUCCAUGGUGCCAGAACCCGUAUUUUUCGGCUCUGCACAGCAGAACACUGAGCUCAUUUCUUGCUGUACUUUAAUGUUACAUGGCUAAGUUCAAGCCAAUUGUACUUAAGUAGAUAUGUUAUAAUGAAACUUCCUGAAAGACAAUGCAUAUAUGUACUUUGCCGCUUUUUCAUUCUUUUCUCUAGCUUGUUCCCUAUAUGUUGACAAUCACCAUCAUGGACCAUAAGAACAUAUUGUUUUCCUCAUUUUCUUUUUAAAAUUGUUUCCAAAAAAUCUUACAAUUGAAAAAAACCAAAAAAACAAAAUACAGCAUGUAAAGCUUCAAUGAUUAGCUUAUUGUCAAAUUUGGACAAGAUGCAUUUUUGCCUAACUCAGAGAGAUAGGCACAAUUUAGGAUUUUUGAGUUCAGAAUAGGAGAAAAAUUUCUUAAUGUUGUUUUUCUAUUACCUUUCAUUUUGAUUGACACAGGAAUAUUAGUUUUAUGUAUUAUGGAAAUGAUCACAAAUUUUCACUCAGAUGUACAACUAGUACUUUGUAUCUGCUUUGUAAGACAUGACUUUUAUUCCCUUAGAAAGAAGCAAAAUAAAUACAGAGGAAGGAUUUACUUAUAAUACAAAAUACCUCAUUCAAUUUUUCAAUUAAGAAAGAAAGAAUUGAAUGUAACUAUCUCAACCCCAGUUUAUAUUCUUUGUUUUUCUCUGGUUUCCCUUUUGCCUUAAGCAAUGAAAAGGAUUAAUUCUGUGUAGUAAUUUAAAUAGAAUUACUUGCUAAAAAUCCUCUUCCAAGAUCAGUGAAAGGGGAUUAAUUUUAAGCUGCCGUAAUCAGACUAUUUUAAAGAAAAAGCAUAUCAAGAAACAACUAUUAACACUAUAGGCACAUCCAUUUUCAUAUCGUUUGUAAUAUGUAUUUUUUCUUAAAAUUAUUCAUAAACAAUUGUUUUACCUUUUUUGAUGAAAAUAUUUUGAAUGGAAAAAUAUAUCAGUGAAGAUCCUAAGUUUCUCAAUCUGUAUGAUAGUACUCUACUUCACUAUACAGAAUAUAUCUUUUUGGGGUAAAACCAAUGCAUGAUUAUUUCUCAGUUUCUCUUAUAUUUCCAUAUUUCUUCAUUUUGAGGAGAGACGAGGUGUAUGCCUAAUGGUCAUGAUUUUCUUUCCUUCAUUUCAGUGCUGACAAAAAUAGCCUAAAUCCUCCUACUUAUAUUUUGAAGUGACACUCUGGGCAAAUAAACCUUAUUUUUUGGAAUUAAGUAUAUUCUACCCAAAGAACAAACCAGAGUAGAUAGGAAAAAAUAGUCACUUGGAACAGAAUCAGCACAGUGAUAUCUUCGGUGUUUUUUUGGAUUUAUCCAGAAUUUCCAAAAGUAAACUCAAAAUACCAGGAUAAUAUAUUAAAGAAACUACUGUUUCUUUUCUUAUAAUUUAGGGACGAUAUCUUGGCUACACUCGUUGUGAUUUAAUAUCUCUUGCCAAAAUCUGGUGCCUCUCUGACUCUUAUAUCACAUUUGACCCAGGACUGGCAUUUUUAAAUUGUUUACACUGAAGCUGAAACAGUUCUCAUGAAUCCAUGCUUCUCCAUGGAGUCAGGUAAAUUAUUAGGCUCUGUAUAUGUAUUGCGCUGCCGGGGCAAGAAAAUAGGGUGUUCUGAAGAGAACUGGUGGUAUAUUCAGGAAGGCAGACAUCUAACCUUGAGAGAUAUGAAUGCAGAGUUCACAGUUUGGAAGAUCAGAAGUAGUCAUCAGGUUCAACACUGCAAAUACAAGGCAAGCUCUUAGUCAAUGGCAGGUGCUACAUGCUUUUUACCCCACUUUAUAUUAUUUCUGAGUGUACUCUAAAAGGAUUUAAGACAAAUCCUGUCUGGCUUAGACUAGAGUAGCAUAUGCAGUUUCAGAGAGAUGCUCCAGGUAAGCCCUAGCAGCUGAUAUAACCAAAAGGGGAAAGGAGAAUAUUUGGGGUGGAGCAAUUUAUUUUUAAAAUUCCUAUCUUUUUGCAAAUAACAUAUACUAAGGAUUUACCUCAUUAAUCCCAGAAUGAAUAAUAUUCUUUUAUACUUUUAGCUUUUCCAUUUCCAUAUUAUAUAUUUUAAUAAUUUUCUAUUUACAACCAUAAAAUAUGAAGCAGAGAGUAUGAAAGAAAUAUUGUUUCUACAAUAUGGACUUAAUAUACCUUUCUUAGAUUCUGGCUUUUCACCGCCAAUUGAACAUUUCUUAAAAUAAUAAUGGAAAUGACAUUUUAUCUCCUAGAGCACCUCAUGUCAUGCAUUUACUUUGUGGCUUUCAUCAGCAGGAAGAGGGAAACUAUGCUUUUUGAAAACACUUUUAAGUAGGGAAAAGUAAGCUACCAUUUAUCCAACCUCAUUUUAUUGAUGAUCAAGUAACCAUUUUGGCUGAGUUCUUUCAGCUCCUUACUUUGCACUGUAAAUAGAGUUUAUGGCUCUGACCUUGUAAUCCUAUUCUCUGGGAGAGAGCUACAAAUAGAGUCCUUGUUACCAUGAGGUGGGCCACUUAAUUUUUCAAGGCCUUAAGUUUGUCAUGGAUAAAAUGGAUGUAAUAAUGGUAUCUACUACUGGGAUAAUUUUGAGGAUUCAAUUAAUACAUGUAAAGUGCUUAGGUUAAUAAUACACAAUAAGCACUUAAUACAUGUUUUCUAUUAUUUAAAUCUUACAUGGAUCUUGUUCAGGGGCACUACUAGUCUCAUUCUAUGGAUGAAGGGACUGACCCACAAAAAAGAUCUAAGUAACUUAUUCAAGUGUUAUCACCAUCAGAUGAUGGAGCAAGGUUUGGAGUCUCGAACUUUUUGUCAUGGUCUGUCACACUGGUAGGAAAGAAGAAUUUUCCGGCAUGGCAAGGUGAAGAGAAAGAAAUUUAUUUAGAUAAGAGGCAUUGCAAGAACAGAGGGGUGACUUCCUGACAAUCAGGGAGAGCCAGCCCCGAGCAUUUGAUCAGGUCUGUUUUUAUAGCCCAUGGAGAGGAGAAGUUUUGCAGGUACACCUGAUAAUCUGCUGAUUGGUUGGGGAAAAAGGGGUCUUAUUAUGGACUUGCUGGUUGGUUGGGGGCAUAUAAGGCCCUAUAGGGCUGGAGUAAGGAGCGGGGCCACAUGCCUUUCCCAGGAGGGACAGGGAGGAGUAGGCUGUGUUGCUCAAGGUGGGGGGAGGGGCAUUACAAUGAGACUGGUCAGGCAGUGAUAAGAAUCUGGUAAUUCUAGUCUUGGGCAAAGUCCUUGAGUUCUGUCUCCUCGAAGUGUUUUUAAAGUCCAAAACUUUGGUCUGUGACUUCAGUUUUUCAAAUGUUCCAGUAUCUUAAUGUACUCACUACUAAUUUAAAAAAUGAGCUAGAAUUACUGUGUGAAUACUGAUAAUUUUUAUAUUAUACUUUUAUAAGUAUUUAAAGAGUUCACCAG
rnacentral:lncRNA from 1 species